AUUUAUCAGUAUUAUUUUUCAGAUUUAAUAAUGAAAAGGGUUGUCAAACAAAAUUGUCACAUAUAAUUUACGUAUAAUAAUUAUAUGACCCACGAGGGGAAGGCAAAUGCCCCCUUUGCCCCUCUCCCUACAGGUACGCCACUACUUGUUGGUUAAAAAGAAAGUCUCGCAUUAUGAUUUUCUAACCAUUUUUCAUAAUAAUUAGAAAAACCCGAAAAUAUUACGGGAUUAAUAGUUUCGUUA